CACGGGGGGAGCAAGCGUUGUUCGGAAUCACUGGGCGUAAAGGGCGUGUAGGCGGUCAGGUAAGUGGGAUGUGAAAUGCCUCGGCUCACCCGAGGACCUGCAUCCCAAACUGCUUGGCUUGAGUAUGGGAGAGGAUGAGGGAAUUCCUGGUGUAGCGGUGAAAUGCGUAGAUAUCAGGAGGAACACCGGUGGCGAAGGCGACUCGCUGGACUGAUACUGACGCUGAGGUGCGAAAGCGUGGGGAGCGAACAGG
rnacentral:rRNA from 1 species